rnacentral:rRNA from 1 species
UACGGGGGGGGCAAGCGUUGUUCGGAAUUACUGGGCGUAAAGGGCUCGUAGGCGGCCAACUAAGUCGGAUGUGAAAUCCCCAGGCUCAACUUGGGAACUGCAUCCGAUACUGGAUGGCUUGAAUUCGGGAGAGGGAUGCAGAAUUCCAGGUGUAGCGGUGAAAUGCGUAGAUAUCUGGAGGAAUACCGGUGGCGAAGGCGGCAUCCUGGACCGACAUUGACGCUGAGGAGCGAAAGCUAGGGGAGCAGACGGG